AAAAACAAAAAACAUACGAUUUGUAAGAAUGAUAUGUUCUAUAUUCAUGGAAAAUUUGGUAGAAACAGAAUGAAAAGUUGAAGCAUAUUGGUGCUUUUGCAUGCAUUUUUGGCAGGCGUGUGUUGCAGCCUUCGAUCUUUUACGUAUUCCAUGUGGAGCUUCCCCAUGCCGCCAGUUAAUAUAGAAUAGAUGGUUUAGAAAUCGUUAGAAUAGCAGCACUAUAACUCAUUAUCUAUGUUAGUCAACGUUUAUUCAUAAAUGUAUUCCUUCACCGUCACAUAUUGUUU